rnacentral:rRNA from 1 species
AUACUGAGUGGCAAACGGGUGAGUAUAAUGUGGGAAUCUGCCUUUUGGUUCGGAAUAACACGAGGAAACUUGUGCUAAUACCGGAUAAGCCCUUACGGGGAAAGUUUUAAUGCCAAAAGAUGAGCCCGCACUUGAUUAGCUAGUUGGUAAGGUAAUGGCUUACCAAGGCAACGAUCAAUAGCUGUUCUUAGAGGAAGACCAGCCACAUUGGGACUGAGACACGGCCCAAACUCCUACGGGAGGCAGCAGUGGGGAAUCUUGCACAAUGGGGGAAACCCUGAUGCAGCGAUGCCGCGUGAGUGAAGAAGGCCCUUGGGUUGUAAAACUCUUUCGUCGGGGAAGAAAAUGACUGUACCCGAAUAAGAAGGUCCGGCUAACUUCGUGCCAGCAGCCGCGGUAAUACGAAGGGACCUAGCGUAGUUCGGAAUUACUGGGCUUAAAGAGUUCGUAGGUGGUUAAAAAAGUUGAUGGUGAAAUCCCAAGGCUCAACCUUGGAACUGCCAUCAAAACUUUUUAGCUAGAGUGUGAUAGAGGAAAGUGGAAUUUCUAGUGUAGAGGUGAAAUUCGUAGAUAUUAGAAAGAACAUCAAAAGCGAAGGCAACUUUCUGGAUCAUUACUGACCCUGAGGAACGAAAGCAUGGGUAGCGAAAAGGAUUAAAUACCCUCGUAGCCCAUGCCGUAAACGAUGUGUGCUAAACCUUGGAAACUUAGUUUUCAGUGUCCCACCGAAAGCAUUAAACACACCCCCCUGGGGAGUACAACCGCCAGGUUAAAACUCCAAAGAAUUGACGGGGA